rnacentral:lncRNA from 1 species
AACGUUCGUAACGAUCAGCAUUUUUGUAAGAAUAUGGUUAUUUUCGUUGUUAUUGUAUCUACUUCUACAACCAGCCAUCGACUUUUCACGAAAUCUUGCUGAUUUCUGUAAAGUUGUCAUCAUUGAUAUAUUCAUUGUUAACAUAACUAUAAACGGAAUUAAAGAUAGCAAGGCUAAAUCUAUAAAGGUAUAAUAUUUUUCCUCGAAAAUAAAAUAUUUAUCGGAUGUACUAUUGCAUAAUG